rnacentral:misc_RNA from 1 species
UUUCCGUAGGUGAACCUGCGGAAGGAUCAUUACUGAGUGAGGGCCCCUCGGGGUCCAACCUCCCACCCGUGUUUAAUGAACCUUGUUGCUUCGGCGGGCCCGCCUCACGGCCGCCGGGGGGCAUCUGCCCCCGGGCCCGCGCCCGCCGAAGCCGCCUGUGAACGCUGUCUGAAGUAUGCAGUUUGAGACAAUUAUUAAAUUAAUUAAAACUUUCAACAACGGAUCUCUUGGUUCCG